AUUGAACGCUGGCGGCAGGCCUAACACAUGCAAGUCGAGCGAGCGGCGGACGGGUGAGUAAUGUAUGGGGACUGCCCGAUAGAGGGGAAUAACUACUGGAAACGGUGGCUAAUACCGCAUACUAUCGGAUAACCCAUAUGGGAUUCGCUAGUAGGGGGGGUAAAGGCUCACCUAGGCGACGAUCUCUAGCUGGUCUGAGAGGAUGAUCAGCCACACUGGGGCUUAGACACAGCCCAGACUCCUACGGAGGCAGCAGUGGGGAAGAUUGCACAACGGGCGAAAGCCUGAUGCAGCCAUGCCGCGUGAAUGAAGAAGGCCUUAGGGUUGUAAAGGACUUUCAGCGGGGAGGCGUUACCCGCAGAAGAAGCACCGGCUAACUCCGUGCCAGCAGCCGCGGUAAUUC
rnacentral:rRNA from 1 species